CCAGACUCCUACGGGAGGCAGCAGUGGGGAAUAUUGCACAAUGGGGGAAACCCUGAUGCAGCGACGCCGCGUGAGUGAAGAAGUAUUUCGGUAUGUAAAGCUCUAUCAGCAGGGAAGAAAAUGACGGUACCUGACUAAGAAGCCCCGGCUAACUACGUGCCAGCAGCCGCGGUAAUACGUAGGGGGCAAGCGUUAUCCGGAUUUACUGGGUGUAAAGGGAGCGUAGACGGCAGCGCAAGUCUGAAGUGAAAUCCCAUGGCUUAACCAUGGAACUGCUUUGGAAACUGUGCAGCUGGAGUGCAGGAGAGGUAAGCGGAAUUCCUAGUGUAGCGGUGAAAUGCGUAGAUAUUAGGAAGAACACCAGUGGCGAAGGCGGCUUGCUGGACAGUAACUGACGUUGAGGCUCGAAAGCGUGGGG
rnacentral:rRNA from 1 species